rnacentral:rRNA from 1 species
UGGGGAAUUUUGGACAAUGGGGGAAACCCUGAUCCAGCCAUCCCGCGUGUGCGAUGAAGGCCUUCGGGUUGUAAAGCACUUUUGGCAGGAAAGAAACGUCGCGGGUUAAUACCCCGCGAAACUGACGGUACCUGCAGAAUAAGCACCGGCUAACUACGUGCCAGCAGCCGCGGUAAUACGUAGGGUGCAAGCGUUAAUCGGAAUUACUGGGCGUAAAGCGUGCGCAGGCGGUUCGGAAAGAAAGAUGUGAAAUCCCAGAGCUUAACUUUGGAACUGCAUUUUUAACUACCGGGCUAGAGUGUGUCAGAGGGAGGUGGAAUUCCGCGUGUAGCAGUGAAAUGCGUAGAUAUGCGGAGGAACACCGAUGGCGAAGGCAGCCUCCUGGGAUAACACUGACGCUCAUGCACGAAAGCGUGGGGAGCAAACAGGAUUAGAUACCCUGGUAGUCCACGCCCUAAACGAUGUCAACUAGCUGUUGGGGCCUUCGGGCCUUGGUAGCGCAGCUAACGCGUGAAGUUGACCGCCUGGGGGAGUACGGUCGCAAGAUUAAAACUCAAAGGAAUU